rnacentral:rRNA from 1 species
UACGUAGGGGGCAAGCGUUGUCCGGAUUUAUUGGGCGUAAAGAGCGUGUAGGCGGCCUGACAGGUCUGCUGUGAAAACUCGAGGCUCAACCUCGAGAUGUCGGCGGAAACCGUCUGGCUAGAGUCCGGAAGAGGAGAGUGGAAUUCCUGGUGUAGCGGUGAAAUGCGCAGAUAUCAGGAAGAACACCUAUGGCGAAGGCAGCUCUCUGGGACGGUACUGGCGCUGAGACGCGAAAGCGUGGGGAGCGAACAGG